rnacentral:rRNA from 1 species
AGUGAACGCUGGCGGUAGGCCUAACACAUGCAAGUCGAACGGCAGCACAGUAAGAGCUUGCUCUUACGGGUGGCGAGUGGCGGACGGGUGAGGAAUACAUCGGAAUCUACUUUUUCGUGGGGGAUAACGUAGGGAAACUUACGCUAAUACCGCAUACGACCUACGGGUGAAAGCAGGGGAUCUUCGGACCUUGCACGAUUGAAUGAGCCGAUGUCGGAUUAGCUAGUUGGCGGGGUAGAGGCCCACCAAGGCGACGAUCCGUAGCUGGUCUGAGAGGAUGAUCAGCCACACUGGAACUGAGACACGGUCCAGACUCCUACGGGAGGCAGCAGUGGGGAAUAUUGGACAAUGGGCGCAAGCCUGAUCCAGCCAUACCGCGUGGGUGAAGAAGGCCUUCGGGUUGUAAAGCCCUUUUGUUGGGAAAGAAAAGCAGCAGGUUAAUACCCCGCUGUUCUGACGGUACCCAAAGAAUAAGCACCGGCUAACUUCGUG